AGUCUGGUGCCAGCAGCCGCGGUAAUUCCAGCUCCAAUAGCGUAUAUUAAACUUGUUGCAGUUAAAAAGCUCGUAGUUGAAUUUCUGCGUCACCGUAUUUUGACUUUUGUCGACUGUCGGUUUCGCUUUUGGGAUUUAUCCCUUUUUACUUUGAGAAAAUUAGAGUGUUUCAAGCAGACUUUUGUCUUGAAUACUUCAGCAUGGAAUAAUAGAGUAGGACUUUGGUUCUAUUUUGUUGGUUUGUGAACCUUAGUAAUGGUUAAUAGGAACGGUUGGGGGCAUUCGUAUUUAACUGUCAGAGGUGAAAUUCUUAGAUUUGUUAAAGACGAACUACUGCGAAAGCAUUUGCCAAGGACGUUUUCAUUAAUCAAGAACGAAAGUUAGGGG
rnacentral:rRNA from 1 species